CAAAUACCAGGUACAGAUUGUGUGAAAUGACUUUAACCACCGAGAGCAGUUUGGGAACAUUCUCACCCUUUUUCGGGGUGGGGGGGGGGUCUGAAGGUGAAACCACACACUUCCUUUUUUUUAAAGCUACUUUGAAGCUUUUUUGGGGGUGGCAUCAAAGAGGGAGGAGGGCUAUGUUACCUGCUGAUGUUUGCAAACCUGGUUAGUAACUAGACUUUAUAUUAGUGCUAAGCAACAGACUGAGAAACAAAAAUACACAAACUUUUGCUCACCAAACUUGGACCACAGACGUUGUGUGUUGCCUGAUAGUAAAACUAAUGACACAUCAGGCCGUGUUAUUAGUCAAAUUAGGCGGUUACAACUGCCUACAUGUGAAUUUAUUCAAUUUUGAAGCCAGCCUAAAGUGGCCUUUAGAGAAAAGCCUGUCGACUUUGGGUUUCCUUCUUGACAUUAAGUAAGAAAUUCUAUAUUAGUAGCAGUCGUCAUAGUAGUAUGAGUAGUUCCUCCUUGAGAACGUGGGUUUUGUGGUUUUUCUAAAGAUUAGGGAAAAGGAGCACGGCAGCUUUGAAUGACAAGCAUGUCGACACAGGCAGAUCUGUGCACCUCACCACUAAUUCAGAACACUGAACUCAACUUUACUACUUGGUUUACUUUGGAAAUAAACAAGUCAUACAUUUUCAAGUGUGACACAGAUCAUCGGAGAGGUUUACCUUAUUAGUCUGUAACUUUGCACUAAUUACAGUCUAGAAGUACAGAUUCUUAACCAAGAUAAAAUGGUGACGGCCCAGAAACCAGUGGGUGAUGUCACAGAAGCUAUUAUGUCUUUUAUAUAGUCUGAGGAAUCAUAGCUUUUGGGCUUCACACAGUUGGGUCACAUGCGCCAUCAUCGACGUGGGCAGGAGGUAAAUAUAGAUAUUACAUUCUGGGCUUAAAACCAGUAAAAACUGGGGGACAUUUUUAUCUUGUUUUUUUUUUUUGUUUUUUUUUAGUGGACUGUUUAAGGUUGUCAUGAAGAGUCUCUGAUCUGCCCCCUACUGGAUGUACUUUUUAAAACCACACAGAAGUUGAUGAACACAACUGUUUGCUUUGUAAUUCUGCGCUUAUGUGUACUGUUGUAAGAAACAAACAGUUUACUGUAGCAAUGAGGUUUGAGUGUUAACAGGCUGUUUUAACAACAAAAACGUGCAUAUUUGUGGUGACAAUAUAGAUGCAGAUUUAUACAAAUAAGCCAGUGUGAAGCCGCCCUAACUGAUCUGCUCCAAAGAAAAAUGUUCAUACAAUGUGUUGUCCAACACUCCUCUUUGCUAAGUGUCAUUGUACAAAGUUGAUAGGAUUUUUUUUUUAUUUAUUUUAGUGCCUGAAAGAAAAAGAAAAGGAAAAAGUCAGAUACCAAUAAUAGAGGAAUAAAAAAACAACCCUUGAAGCAGGCUGAGGAUUCUCAAAAAAUCAAAUGCUGAAUUUUCAUUUGGAGGAUGUAGCUCUGUCAUUGGUGUUAGUGUGAGUGCAGUUUUGAGGGUGCUUUGAGUGUACCCUUAUCUGUCUGGAACAAGUCAGUGUCUCGUAAAUCCAACUGCUGCAUCGCCAGAAGCCUUAAUUUUAAUAUGAAACAUCUGCUGCUUGCUCUAAACUUUUUCCAUUCACUGGUGAGAUUUAACACUUUGUUGCCUUGUCCAGGAAAUAAACUUCCUGCCAAAUUACCUGGGAAAUUAUCCAGUUUACACACAGAUGAGGAAUGCUUUAAUGUGCCAUAAAACGACAGAGCAGCAGCCCUUCUGAGUCCUGAGCUGGAUUGUUGUAAGCAAGUUUACUUCCUCACCUUUGACAGAGGAGUUUGUUGUGACUUUAAAUCCAAAGUUGUGCUCACCAGACUCUCUGCAGUCUUCAAAUGUAGAGUUUUAUUUCCAUUGCUAGGUGCAGAUAAAUCCACUUAGUCAGCUGCUCGUAAUUCCAUUAUAAACAUCUGUAUAUGAGCUGUAGAUUUAGUACAAAGUGACAACAGGUGACCAAACGUGUGCGGCCUGUGGUACCAUAGCUUUAAUUCAGCUCGUCAUGUAAGUUUCAUUUAACAAACAUGCUGAUUAUCAGUCCAUUUACAGAGGCCGAACUACAGAAGCAUUGAAACAACAGAUAAAAAUCAUGAAUCCACCGCUGUCACUUUGAAUGAAAUAAAACAUUUUUAAAAAACAAACUGAAUUCUUGGGUUUUUCUUUUUCUUUUUGAAAAAUUGUGCGUACUCUGGAGGUAAGAGCUGAAUUGAUCAUCUGUGGAGGAGUUGGUCUAUAAAAGCUGAUUCUUACGCCAAUGAAUUUCUG
ensembl:lncRNA